AACGAACGCUGGCGGCAGGCCUAACACAUGCAAGUCGAGCGCCCCGCAAGGGGAGCGGCGGACGGGUGAGUAACACGUGGGAACGUACCCUUUGCUACGGAAUAGUCUCGGGAAACUGGGGGUAAUACCGUAUGUGCCCUUCGGGGGAAAGAUUUAUCGGCAAAGGAUCGGCCCGCGUUGGAUUAGGUAGUUGGUGGGGUAAUGGCCUACCAAGCCGACGAUCCAUAGCUGGUUUGAGAGGAUGAUCAGCCACACUGGGACUGAGACACGGCCCAGACUCCUACGGGAGGCAGCAGUGGGGAAUCUUAGACAAUGGGCGCAAGCCUGAUCUAGCCAUGCCGCGUGAGCGAUGAGGGGCCUUAGGGUUGUAAAGCUCUUUCAGUGGGGAAGAUAAUGACUGUACCCACAGAAGAAGCCCCGACUAACUCCGUG
rnacentral:rRNA from 1 species